UGGGGAAUUUUGGACAAUGGGCGAAAGCCUGAUCCAGCAAUGCCGCGUGUGUGAAGAAGGCCUUCGGGUUGUAAAGCACUUUUGUCCGGAAAGAAAUCCUUGGCUCUAAUACAGUCGGGGGAUGACGGUACCGGAAGAAUAAGCACCGGCUAACUACGUGCCAGCAGCCGCGGUAAUACGUAGGGUGCAAGCGUUAAUCGGAAUUACUGGGCGUAAAGCGUGCGCAGGCGGUUUGCUAAGACCGAUGUGAAAUCCCCGGGCUCAACCUGGGAACUGCAUUGGGUGACUGGCAGGCUAGAGUAUGGCAGAGGGGGGUAGAAUUCCACGUGUAGCAGUGAAAUGCGUAGAGAUGUGGAGGAAUACCGAUGGCGAAGGCAGCCCCCUGGGCCAAUACUGACGCUCAUGCACGAAAGCGUGGGGAGCAAACAGGAUUAGAUACCCUGGUAGUCCACGCCCUAAACGAUGUCAACUAGUUGUUGGGGAUUCAUUUCCUUAGUAACGUAGCUAACGCGUGAAGUUGACCGCCUGGGGAGUACGGUCGCAAGAUUAAAACUCAAAUGAAUUGACGGGGUCAUAGCUGUUUCCU
rnacentral:rRNA from 1 species